rnacentral:rRNA from 1 species
GUAGGGAAUCUUCCACAAUGGACGAAAGUCUGAUGGAGCAACGCCGCGUGAGUGAAGAAGGCCUUCGGGUUGUAAACUUCUUUUAUGAGGGACGAAGGACGUGACGGUACCUCAUGAAUAAGCCACGGCUAACUACGUGCCAGCAGCCGCGGUAAUACGUAGGUGGCGAGCGUUGUCCGGAUUUACUGGGUGUAAAGGGCGCGUAGGCGGACUGGCAAGUCAGAUGUGAAAUACAGGGGCUCAACCCCUGAACUGCAUUUGAAACUGUUGGUCUUGAGUAUCGGAGAGGCAAGCGGAAUUCCUAGUGUAGCGGUGAAAUGCGUAGAUAUUAGGAGGAACACCAGUGGCGAAGGCGGCUUGCUGGACGACAACUGACGCUGAGGCGCGAAAGCGUGGGGAGCAAACAGGAUUAGAAACCCGGGUAGUCC